GACGAACGCUGGCGGCGUGCUUAACACAUGCAAGUCGAACGGAAAGGCCCUGCUUUUGUGGGGUGCUCGAGUGGCGAACGGGUGAGUAACACGUGAGUAACCUGCCCUUGACUUUGGGAUAACUUCAGGAAACUGUGGCUAAUACCGGAUAGGAGCUCCUGCUGCAUGGUGGGGGUUGGAAAGUUUCGGCGGUUGGGGAUGGACUCGCGGCUUAUCAGCUUGUUGGUGGGGUAGUGGCUUACCAAGGCUUUGACGGGUAGCCGGCCUGAGAGGGUGUCCGGCCACAUUGGGACUGAGAUACGGCCCAGACUCCUACGGGAGGCAGCAGUGGGGAAUAUUGCACAAUGGGCGGAAGCCUGAUGCAGCAACGCCGCGUGCGGGAUGACGGCCUUCGGGUUGUAAACCGCUUUCGCCUGUGACGAAGCGUGAGUGACGGUAAUGGGUAAAGAAGCACCGGCUAACUACGUG
rnacentral:rRNA from 1 species